rnacentral:rRNA from 1 species
UACGAAGGGGGCUAGCGUUGUUCGGAUAUACUGGGCGUAAAGCGCACGUAGGCGGACUAUUAAGUCAGGGGUGAAAUCCCGGGGCUCAACCCCGGAACUGCCUUUGAUACUGGUAGUCUUGAGUUCGAGAGAGGUGAGUGGAAUUCCGGAGUGUAGAGGUGAAAUUCGUAGAUAUUCGGAGGAACACCAGUGGCAAAGGCGGCUCACUGGCUCGAUACUGACGCUGAGGUGCGAAAGCGUGGGGGAGCAAACAGGAUUAGAUACCCUGGUAGUCCACGCCGUAAACUAUGAGAGCUAGCCGUCGGGCAGUAUACUGUUCGGUGGCGCAGCAAACGCAUUAAGCUCUCCGCCUGGGGAGUACGGUCGCAAGAUUAAAACUCA